GUUGAAAUGGCUGAGCAUUAAGCGGUAAAUUGUAAAUUUACACACGAAUAAAUAAAAUUCUUUCAUCA
rnacentral:tRNA from 1 species